CCUACGGGUGGCAGCAGUGGGGAAUAUUGCACAAUGGGGGAAACCCUGAUGCAGCAACGCCGCGUGAGUGAAGCAGCAUUUCGGCAGGUAAAGCCCUAUCAGCGGGGAAGAAAAUGACGGGUCCCGAACAAGAAACCCCGGCUAACUACGGGCCAGCAGCCGCGGUAAUACGUAGGGGGCAAGCGUUAACCGGAUGUACUGGGGGUAAAGGGGGCGUAGACGGGAGAGCAAGUCUGGAGUGAAAGCCCGCGGCCCAACCGCGGGACUGCUUUGGAGACUGGCCGGCUAGAGUGCUGGAGAGGUAAGCGGAAUUCCUGGUGUAGCGGUGAAAUGCGUAGAUAUCAGGAGGAACACCGGUGGCGAAGGCGGCUUACUGGACCGUAACUGACGUUGAGGCUCGAAAGCGUGGGGAGCAAACAGGAUUAGAUACCCCAGUAGUC
rnacentral:rRNA from 1 species